rfam:TPA: Bos taurus chromosome 10, whole genome shotgun sequence.
UCCCUGGUGGCUCAGAUGGUAAAGUGUCUGCCUGCCAUGCGGGAGACCCAGGUUUGAUCCCUGGGUUGGGAA